rnacentral:rRNA from 1 species
UACAUAGGUGGCAAGCGUUGUCCGGAGUUAUUGGGCGUAAAGCGCGCGCAGGCGGUGCGGUAAGUCUCUGGUGAAAGCGCUCGGCUUAACUGGGCGAGGGCCGGGGAGACUGCCACGCUGGAGGGGAGCAGAGGCGAGUGGAAUUCCGGGUGUAGAGGUGAAAUUCGUAGAUAUUCGCAAGAACACCAGUGGCGAAGGCGGCUCACUGGCCCGAUACUGACGCUGAGGUGCGAAAGCGUGGUGAGCAAACAGG